AUGAACGCUAGCUACAGGCUUAACACAUGCAAGUCGAGGGGCAUCACAGUGUAGCAAUACACGGGUGGCGACCGGCGCACGGGUGCGUAACACGUAUCCAAUCUGCCCGUUACUCGGGGAUAGCCUUCUGAAAGGAAGAUUAAUACCCGAUGGCAUGUAUUUCCGGCAUCGGAGAUACAUUAAAGAUUUAUCGGUAACGGAUGAGGAUGCGUACGAUUAGCUUGUUGGCGGGGUAACGGCCCACCAAGGCUACGAUCGUUAGGGGUUCUGAGAGGAAGGUCCCCCACACUGGAACUGAGACACGGACCAAACUCCUACGGGAGGCAGCAGUGAGGAAUAUUGGUCAAUGGACGCAAGUCUGAACCAGCCAUGCCGCGUGCAGGAUGACGGCUCUAUGAGUUGUAAACUGCUUUUGUAUGAGGGUAAUAUCAGGUACGUGUACCUGCUUGAAAGUAUCAUACGAAUAAGGAUCGGCUAACUCCGUG
rnacentral:rRNA from 1 species